rnacentral:rRNA from 1 species
ACGCUCGACACCUACCGGAGGCAGCAGUGGGGAAUAUUGCACAAUGGGGGAAACCCUGAUGCAGCGACGCCGCGUGGAGGAAGAAGGUCUUCGGAUUGUAAACUCCUGUUGUUGGGGAAAAAGAGGAUGGUACCCAACAAGGAAGUGACGGCUAACUACGUGCCAGCACGCCGCGGUAAUCUGAGGCGGGCUGGACGAAGGC